rnacentral:rRNA from 1 species
GAGUUUGAUCAUGGCUCAGGAUGAACGCUAGCGAUAGGCUUAACACAUGCAAGUCGAGGGGCAUCACGAGGUAGCAAUACUUUGGUGGCGACCGGCGUACGGGUGCGUAACACGUAUGCAACCUUCCUGUAAGUGUGGGAUAGCCUCCCGAAAGGGAGAUUAAUACCUGAUGAUAUGUAUUUGCUGCAUGGCAUUUACAUUAAACAUUUAUGGCUUACAGAUGGGCAUGCGUUCCAUUAGGCAGUUGGUGUGGUAACGGCUCACCAAACCUACGAUGGAUAGGGGUUCUGAGAGGAAGGUCCCCCACACUGGAACUGAGACACGGUCCAGACUCCUACGGGAGGCAGCAGUGAGGAAUAUUGGUCAAUGGGCGCGAGCCUGAACCAGCCACGUCGCGUGAAGGAUGACGGCCUUAUGGGUUGUAAACUUCUUUUACAGGGGAAUAAAGUGAGUCACGUGUGAUUUUUUGCAUGUACCCUGUGAAUAAGCAUCGGCUAACUCCGUGCCAGCAGCCGCGGUAAUACGGAGGAUGCGAGCGUUAUCCGGAUUUAUUGGGUUUAAAGGGUGCGUAGGCGGGAUAUUAAGUCAGCGGUGAAAGUUUUCGGCUCAACCUUAAAAUUGCCGUUGAAACUGUUAUUCUUGAGUGCAGUAGAGGUAGGCGGAAUUCGUUGUGUAGCGGUGAAAUGCGUAGAUAUAACGAGGAACUCCGAUUGCGUAGGCAGCUUACUAUAUUGCUACUGACGCUGAGGCACGAAAGUGUGGGUAUCAAACAGGAUUAGAUACCCCCGGUAGUCCACACA